rnacentral:rRNA from 1 species
UGCAAGUCGAGCGGAGCCUUUGGAGCUUGCUCCAUUGUGUUUAGCGGCGGACGGGUGAGUAACACGUGGGCAACCUGCCCUGCAGAUCGGGAUAACUCCGGGAAACCGGUGCUAAUACCGAAUAGUUUUUUGCCCCUCCUGGGGCGAAACGGAAAGACGGUUUCGGCUGUCACUGCAGGAUGGGCCCGCGGCGCAUUAGCUAGUUGGUGGGGUAAUGGCCCACCAAGGCGACGAUGCGUAGCCGACCUGAGAGGGUGAUCGGCCACACUGGGACUGAGACACGGCCCAGACUCCUACGGGAGGCAGCAGUAGGGAAUCUUCCGCAAUGGACGCAAGUCUGACGGAGCAACGCCGCGUGAGUGACGAAGGUUUUCGGAUCGUAAAACUCUGUUGUGAGGGAAGAACAAGUACCAACUAACUACUGGUACCUUGACGGUACCUCACCAGAAAGCCACGGCUAACUACGUGCCAGCAGCCGCGGUAAUACGUAGGUGGCAAGCGUUGUCCGGAAUUAUUGGGCGUACAGCGCGCGCAGGGCGCUCCUCAGUCUGAUGUGAAAGCCCCCGGUCCACCGUGGCCGCGUCAUGGGAAGCUGGGGGACUGAGGUGCAGAGGAGGAAAGUGGACUCCCCACGGGUAGCGGGGAAUGGGGUAGAAGAGGGGGGGAACCCCCCGGGGGGGAAGUCGAUUUUUUGUUCCGUAAUUGCGGUGGGGGGGGGAAAGUGGGGGGACGCAAACGGGCUUAGACCCCUGGUUAGUCCCCCCCAGUAAACGAGGAGUGUUAAGUGUAAGGGGGUUUCCCCCCUUUUUUGUUGCAGUUAAGCCAUUAAGCAUUCCCCGGGGGGAGUAGGGCGGCAAGGUGGAAAUUCAAAGAAAUUGACGGGGGCCCCCACAAGCGGUGGACCAUGUGUUUUAUUUGGAAGCACGGGGAAGACCCUUACCAGUUCUGGACAUCCCGCUGACCCCUUAAGAGAUAAGGCUUUCCCUUCGGGGACAGCGGUGACAGGUGGUGCAUGGUUGUCUUCAGCUCGUGUCGUGAGAUGUUGGUUUAAGUCCCGCAACGAGCCCAACCCUUGUUUUUAGUUGCCACCAUUCAGUUGGCCAUUUUAAGGUGACUGCCGGUGACAAACCGGAGGAAGGUGGGGAUGACGUCAAAUCUUCAUGCCCCUUAUGACCUGGGCUACACACGUGUUCCAAUGGACGGUACAAAGGGCAGCCAACCCGCGAGGGGGAGCCAAUCCCAGAAAACCGUUUUCAGUUCGGAUUCCAGGCUGCAAUUCGCUUGCAUGAAGCCGGAAUCGUUGGUAAUCGUGGAUCACCAUGCCACGGUGAAUACGUUCCCGGCCCUGGUACACACCCCCCGUCCCACCACGAGAGUUUUAACACCGGAAGUCGGUGAGGUAACCCUUGUGAGCCAGCCGCCG